GCAGCCGCCACGGUAAUACGUAGGGUGCAAGCGUUAAUCGGAAUUACUGGGCGUAAAGCGUGCGUAGGUGGUGGUUUAAGUCCGUUGUGAAAGCCCUGGGCUCAACCUGGGAAUUGCAGUGGAUACUGGGUCACUAGAGUGUGGUAGAGGAUAGUGGAAUUUCCGGUGUAGCAGUGAAAUGCGUAGAGAUCGGAAGGAACAUCUGUGGCGAAGGCGACUAUCUGGGCCAACACUGACACUGAGGCACGAAAGCGUGGGGAGCAAACAGGAUUAGAUACCCCUGUAGUCCCUGUCUCUUAUAA
rnacentral:rRNA from 1 species